AUGGCAAGGGAAGCUUGCAUCUCAGGGGGCAGUGAUGUGAUUAAGUGGGGUCUGGGAGGGAAAACUUCUUUCACCACUAAAUCUGUGUAUUCUUUCCUGGAAAAAAAUAUUGCCGGGUGUGAUUACAGAUGGAUCUGGAAUGCCAGAAUUCCUCUGAAAAUUCAAAUUUUCUUAUGGCAGAUAUUUCAGAAUGUUGUUUUGAAUAGAGAUGUGAUGAAACAUCGAGGUUGGAAAGGAAAUCCUAAAUGUUCCUUCUGUGGUGGGCGAGAGACAUCACACCACUUGUUCUUUACUUUCCCUGUUGCUAGGGUGACCUGGAGAAUAGUGGCAUGCAUGUUCGGCACUGCUUUGUGCCCUGACAACAUUUGGCAAGCCUAUGUGUGGUGCUUUACAUUCUUCCCUGGUGGAGAGGAGUUUUACACAGUGGGGAUUGCUGCUGUGUGUUGGGCGAUUUGGUCCUGUCGCAACAGAGCUACUUUCGAGUUCAAGCCACUUAAGAACCCGUCUGAAUGCAUCUUUUCUGCUUGUGCUCUAAUGUGUUACUGGCAGGGCUACUGA
rnacentral:rRNA from 1 species